UCUACGGGUGGCAGCAGUGGGGAAUAUUGGGCAAUGGGCGCAAGCCUGACGCAGCAACGCCGCGUGAAGGAAGAAGGCUUUCGGGUUGUAAACUUCUUUUGACAGGGAAGAGUAGAAGACGGUACCUGUGGAAUAAGCCACGGCUAACUACGUGCCAGCAGCCGCGGUAAUACGUAGGUGGCAAGCGUUGUCCGGAUUUACUGGGGGUAAAGGUCGUGUAAGCGGGUUUGCAAGUCAUAGGUGAAAUCCCCGGGCUUAACCCCAGGACUGCAUUUGAAACUGUAGAACUUGAGUACUGGAGAGGCAGACGGAAUUCCUAGUGUAGCGGUGAAAUGCGUAGAUAUUAGGAGGAACACCAGUGGCGAAGGCGGUCUGCUGGACAGCAACUGACGCUGAGGCGCGAAAGCGUGGGGAGCAAACAGGAUUAGAUACCCCAGUAGUC
rnacentral:rRNA from 1 species